GAUGAACGCUAGCGGCAGGCUUAAUACAUGCAAGUCGAGGGGCAUCAAGGUACACGAAAGUGUAUUGUUGGCGACCGGCGGACGGGUGAGUAAUAGGUAGGUAACCUACCUCAUACUGAGGCAUAGCUGGGAGAAAUUCCAGGUAAUUCCUCAUGAGGUUAUAUGACACAUGUGAUAUAAUCAAAGGUAUCGCAAGGUACUGGUAUGAGAUGGGCUUACUGACCAUUAGCUAGUUGGUGAGAUAAGAGCUCACCAAGGCGAAGAUGGUUAGGGGUUUUGAGAGAGAGAUCCCCCACAUUGGAACUGAGAUACGGUCCAGACUCCUACGGGAGCAGCAGUAGGGAAUAUUGGGCAAUGGGCGAAGCCUGACCCAGCCAUGCCGCGUGAAGGAAGACGGCCUUAUGGGUUGUAAACUUCUUUAACUAUGCGACUAACUAGAUUUACGAGAUAAUUCUAUAGAAUGUAGCAUAGCAAAAGCACCGG
rnacentral:rRNA from 1 species